rnacentral:rRNA from 1 species
GACGAACCGUGCGAACGUUGUUCGGAUUCACUGGGCUUAAAGGGCGCGUAGGCGGGCGGUCAAGUCAGGGGUGAAAUCUUUCGGCCUAACCGGAAAAGGGCCUCUGAUACUGGCCGUCUCGAGGGAGGUAGGGGCAUGCGGAACUUCCGGUGGAGCGGUGAAAUGCGUAGAUAUCAGGAGGAACACCUGCGGUGUAGACGGCUUUCUGGACCAUUGUUGACGCUGAGACACGAAAGCGUGGGUAGCAAACAGG